rnacentral:rRNA from 1 species
GAUGAACGCUGGCGGCGUGCCUAAUACAUGCAAGUCGAGCGAACAUAUAAGGCGCUUGCUCCUUUGACGCUAGCGGCGGACGGGUGAUUAACACGAGGCUAACCUACCUAUAAGACUGGGAUAACUUCGGGAAACCGGCGCUAAUACCUGAUCACAUAUUGAACCGCAUGGUUCAAUAGCCAUAGGCGGCUUUGCUGUCCCUUAUAGAUGGAUCCGCGCCGUAUUAGCUAGUUGGUAAGGUAACGGCUUACCAAGGCAACGAUACGUAGCCGACCUGAGAGGGGGAUCGGGCACACUGGAACUGAGAAACGGUCCAGACUACUACGGGAGGCAGCAGUAGGGAACCUUCAGCAAAGGGCGAAAGCCUGACAGAGCCACGCCGAGUGAGUGAUGAAGGUCUUCGGCUCGUAAAACUCUGUUAUCAGGGAAGAACAAAUGUGUACGUACCUGUGCACAUCUUGACGGUACCUGAUCAGAAAGCCACGGAUAACUUCGUG